GCACUACUGAGGAGUCGCAUACUACGACGAAACGGCCGUCCAGUGC
rfam:Schistosoma rodhaini strain Burundi genome assembly, scaffold: SROB_scaffold0000512